rnacentral:rRNA from 1 species
UACAGAGACUGCAAGCGUUAUUCGGAUUCACUGGGCGUAAAGGGUGCGCAGGCGGCCAAGUGUGUGAGGCGUGAAAGCCCGGGGCUUAACCCCGGAAUUGCACCUCAAACUACAUGGCUAGAGCAUUGGAGAGGGUAGCAGAAUUCAUGGUGUAGCAGUGAAAAUGCGUAGAUAUCAGGAGGAACACCGGUGGCGAAGGCGGGUCUCUGGGCAGUAAACUGACGUGAGGAGCGAAAAGCCGUGGG